CCUCACUUGGGACAUGCGACGAGGCCCCAUCUUCUGCCCGGGCCCGGGGGACAUGAGACAGGACACAAGUCCCUGGCUGAGUCCCAGCCCCUGGACACCUCCAGCUGCUGGAGCCGUCCCAGGAGUCAGCGGUUCAGCGGGCAGCCUCCCGACCCCGUGCAGAGUAACAGCUCCCGGGGGUGAAACAUGCCGUGUCUGGGCUAGCACGUUGUCUGCACCCAGGAGAGGAGGAUCCAUCGGGCUGAGGGCGACGCCCCGCCGUGGUGGCAGCAGUCUCGGGCACAAAGCUGUAGAGGCUUUGGGGAACUUUCCAUCUGCGACUGUCAUCAACAGUGCUGCAGGCACAUUCUGCUACCCAGCUGGUGACCAGGUGCAUUUCUGUUGGACAUGCACCUAGAAGUGGUGUCGCUGGUCAAGGACAGCUUGGGACCAGCUUCAGUGGUCAGGGCCACGUGGUUUUCCAAAGUUCCAACACACCAUCUCACCAGCCAGCAAAGACCAGCUGCUCCACGUUCCCACCAAUCUGGGUGUUUUCCAGCAUUGCCACGGAAGCCGUUGGGCCAGGCGUGCAGGGCAUCGACCUGCAUUUCAAUUUGUGUUUGCAUUUUCCUGGUGACGAGUGAAGAUAAGCACCUUCUCAUGUGUUUAUUGGAUUCUGGGUUUCCUUUCUGCAUGUGUGAAGUGUCUGUCAAAUCAUUUGUCUUUGUGUUUUUUCUAUUGCGUUGUCUAUCUUUUUA
rnacentral:lncRNA from 1 species